UACUGUCAGUAUAACAGAGAUCAGUGGGCGAUACUGUGUUGGGUCAGGCUCGAGUACUAGUAGUAAGCACGAGAAGUCACGUGAGAGUUAAAUCAAACGCAGUCGAGUCAGUCGCGCUUGCACAUAUAUAAAAAAUAAAUAUUUGCUAUAUAUGGGAGAUACCGUAAUCAUUGGGGAAAUCCAGCGUGGUGAAAUCACACGCUAGGUGGUACGGUCUGGGAUUGAUCGGACAAUCGCACAGUCUAUUAGGCUGACUCGUAAAUUGACUCUGAAAACCACGAGCAGGAAAACAGAAGAGCGCAUAAACCCGCAGCAACAACAGAGCUAUAUGGGCUUAUAACUUUCGCAAUCAUCCUGCCUGCCUACCAGAGAACCUGAAGUCAAGAGGGACACCGAAAACAGUUUGAUUUAUAAACACAGACAUCAUG